rnacentral:rRNA from 1 species
UGGGGGAUAUUGCACAAUGGGCGAAAGCCUGAUGCAGCGACGCCGCGUGGGGGAUGAAGGCCUUCGGGUUGUAAACUUCUUUUGCUCUGACCAAGGCAUGCUAAUGGGUGUGUUGAGUGUAGGGUUUGAUUAGCGCCGGCUAACUACGUGCCAGCAGCCGCGGUACUACGUAGGGCGCGAGCGUUGUCCGGCAUUAUUGGGCGUAAAGGGCUUGUAGGUGGCUGGUUGCGUCUUUCGUGAAAGCUCAUGGCUUAACUGUGGGUUUGCGGUGGGUACGGGCUGGCUUGAGUGCAGUAGGGGAGGCUGGAAUUCCUGGUGUAGCGGUGGAAUGCGCAGAUAUCAGGAGGAAUACCGGUGGCGAAGGCGGGUCUCUGGGCUGUUACGGACACUGAGGAGCGAAAGCAUGGGGAGCGAACAGG